GCAUAUCAAUAAGCGGAGGAAAAGAAACCAACAGGGAUUGCCCUAGUAACGGCGAGUGAAGCGGCAACAGCUCAAAUUUGAAAUCUGGCGCAAGCCCGAGUUGUAAUUUGUAGAGGAUGCUUCUGGCCAGCGGCCGUUCUAAGUUCCUUGGAACAGGACGUCAUAGAGGGUGAGAAUCCCGUAUGUGACCGGUGCGCAGCCUUUACGUAGCUCCUUCGACGAGUCGAGUUGUUUGGGAAUGCAGCUCUAAAUGGGAGGUAAAUUUCUUCUAAAGCUAAAUACCGGCCAGAGACCGAUAGCGCACAAGUAGAGUGAUCGAAAGAUGAAAAGCACUUUGGAAAGAGAGUUAAAAAGCACGUGAAAUUGUUGAAAGGGAAGCGCUUGCAACCAGACUUCGUAGCGAUGUUCCGCUGGUCUUCUGACCGGUCUACUCAUCGUCGCGAGGCCAACAUCGUCUGGGACCGCUGGAUAAGACCUAAGGAAUGUAGCUUCCCUCGGGAAGUGUUAUAGCCUGUGGUGAUGCAGCGCGUCU
rnacentral:rRNA from 2 species